AUUGAACGCUGGCGGCAGGCUUAACACAUGCAAGUCGAGCGGGGGAAGGUAGCUUGCUACCGGACCUAGCGGCGGACGGGUGAGUAAUGCUUAGGAAUCUGCCUAUUAGUGGGGGACAACAUCUCGAAAGGGAUGCUAAUACCGCAUACGUCCUACGGGAGAAAGCAGGGGAUCUUCGGACCUUGCGCUAAUAGAUGAGCCUAAGUCGGAUUAGCUAGUUGGUGGGGUAAAGGCCUACCAAGGCGACGAUCUGUAGCGGGUCUGAGAGGAUGAUCCGCCACACUGGGACUGAGACACGGCCCAGACUCCGACGGGAGGCAGCAGUGGGGAAUAUUGGACAAUGGGGGGAACCCUGAUCCAGCCAUGCCGCGUGUGUGAAGAAGGCCUUAUGGUUGUAAAGCACUUUAAGCGAGGAGGAGGCUACUUUAGUUAAUACCUAGAGAUAGUGGACGUUACUCGCAGAAUAAGCACCGGCUAACUCUGUGCCAGCAGCCGCCGUAACAC
rnacentral:rRNA from 1 species